AACGAACGCUGGCGGCAUGCCUAACACAUGCAAGUCGAACGAGACCUUCGGGUCUAGUGGCGCACGGGUGCGUAACGCGUGGGAACCUGCCCUUAGGUUCGGAAUAACUCCCCGAAAGGGGUGCUAAUACCGGAUAAUAUCUUCGGACCAAAGAUUUAUCGCCUUUGGAUGGGCCCGCGUUGGAUUAGCUAGUUGGUAGGGUAAAAGCCUACCAAGGCGACGAUCCAUAGCUGGUCUGAGAGGAUGAUCAGCCACACUGGGACUGAGACACGGCCCAGACUCCUACGGGAGGCAGCAGUGGGGAAUAUUGGACAAUGGGCGAAAGCCUGAUCCAGCAAUGCCGCGUGAGUGAUGAAGGCCUUAGGGUUGUAAAGCUCUUUUACCCGGGAUGAUAAUGACAGUACCGUGAGAAUAAGCUCCGGCUAACUCCGUG
rnacentral:rRNA from 1 species